UUCCGGUUGAUCCUGCCGGAGGCUACCGCUAUUGGAGUUCGAUUAAGCCAUGCGAGUCGAGAGUCCUCGGGACUCGGCGUACCGCUCAGUAACACGUGGGUAACCUGCCCUAUGCUGGGGAAUAACCUCGGGAAACUGAGAAUAAUACCCCAUAGUCCACUACGCCUGGAACGGUGAGUGGAUCAAAGCUCCGGCGGCAUAGGAUGGGCCUGCGGCGUAUCAGGUUGUAGGGGGUGUAACGUACCCUCUAGCCAUCCACGCGUACGGGUGUUGGGAGACAUUGCCCGGAGAUGGAUUCUGAGACACGAAUCCAGACCCUACGGGGUGCAGCAGGCGCGAAAACUUGGCAAUGCGAGAAAUCGUGACCAGGGAACUCCAAGUGGCAGGGGUAGGACCCUGUCUUUUUCCGACUCUAAAUAGGUCGGCGAAUAAGGGGUGGGUAAGGACGGUGCCAGCCGCCGCGGUAAUACCGGCGCCUCAAGUGGUAGUCGCUUUUAUUGGGCCUAAAACGUCCGUAGCCGGUCUGGUACAUUCGUGGGUAAAUCAACUCGCUUAACGAGUUGAAUUCUGCGAGGACGGCCAGACUUGGGACCGGGAGAGGUGUGGGGUACUCUCAGGGUAGGGGUAAAAUCCUGUCAUCCUGAGAGGACCACCUGUUGCGAAGGCUCCACACUAGAACGGAUCCGACGGUCAGGGACGAAGCCUAGGGGCACGAACCGGAUUAGAUACCCGGGUAGUCCUAGGUGUAAACGCUGUGGACUUGAUGUUGGGGACGCUCCGAGCGUUCUCAGUGUCGAAGCGAAGGUGAUAAGUCCACUGCCUGGGGAGUACGGUCGCAAGGCUGAAACUUAAAGGAAUUGGCGGGGGAGCACCGCAACCUGAGGAUUGUGCGGUUUAAUUGGAUUCAACGCCGGA
rnacentral:rRNA from 1 species